UAAAAAUGUAAUUUUUAAUUUAAAAUUAUUAUAAGUUAAGGUCUUUAAAAUUAAAAAUUAUGGCGGUAUUUUAGUCUUUUCAGAGGAACCUGUUUUUUAAUUGAUAAUCCACGAUAAGUUAAACUUUUUUUAAAAAUUUAUAUAUCGUUGUAGGAAGAAUAUUUUAAAAGAAUUUUAAUAUUCAAAAUUUAAAAUAAUAAAAUAAUUCAAAUCAAGGUGUAGUUAUAAAAAAGGUAAAAUGGGUUACAAUAGAUUUAUUUUUAGAUUUUUAAUUUAAAGUUAAAAUGAAAUUGGAUUUGAAAGUAAUAUAAAUUUUUAUUUUUAAAUAUGAUUUUGCUCUAAAAUAUGC
rnacentral:rRNA from 1 species